rnacentral:lncRNA from 10 species
CUGGGUGAACUGUCUGAUUACAUUCAGAAACGCUCCAUGCAAUACCGCAUGGAAAUCAAAAAUGCCUUUUACCACAGACACGGCAGAUUCCAAUUAUUCCUCAGAUCGGAAUUUUUUUCCCCUCCAUUGAUAAUCAAUGAAUGAUAUUUACAUGAUUUUUAUCGUAUGUGUUCCCUGCAGAGCAAACUAGUAUCUGAAAAUUACAUUGUCUUGUCUACAGUUUCCUAUGUUCAAUUUUAUUGAGUUUUGUCUUCCUUAGUCAAACUACAGUAGACUUGGGGAACAAAUGUAUCAUCUCUCUCUCUUUCUCCCCUCUCUCUCCAUACCGUGAAUAUCAUAAAACUUUUUAUUUUCUGCUAAUUCGGAACACAAUUUUCUACUCCAGUUUUGGGGGUUUCCUGUCAUUUCUAACUGAAUGAAAUUUAUGCCUUUUUCACAUCUUUAAUGUAUUCCCAAGUCUCAAUCAUGUUACCUACUGUAGGUCAUCUUCUUCAUGCUUUAAGACAUCAUUUUCAGAACAUUAAGACCUUCUGUUCAAUCUGGAUCAUUUUCUGUGGAAAAGCCAAAGUUGUAUGUUCACCAAACUGCUUGAGUUUUUCCUUGGCACACACAAAGAUUGUCUCUCCCAGAUCAUUUAGGCGAUGUCAUGUGAUUAAUUUUGGCCAGUGGAAUGCAGUCAGAUGCGACGCCCACCACUCUCACCUCUAGUCUAUGAGAAAUCUCCCACACACAAUCUCCACUAUCACCCCUUUCAUAACAGUCUUGGGCUGAU